rnacentral:rRNA from 1 species
AGUGAACGCUGGCGGUAGGCCUAACACAUGCAAGUCGAACGGCAGCACAGAGGAGCUUGCUCCUUGGGUGGCGAGUGGCGGACGGGUGAGGAAUACAUCGGAAUCUACUCUGUCGUGGGGGAUAACGUAGGGAAACUUACGCUAAUACCGCAUACGACCUACGGGUGAAAGCAGGGGAUCUUCGGACCUUGCGCGAUUGAAUGAGCCGAUGUCGGAUUAGCUAGUUGGCGGGGUAAAGGCCCACCAAGGCGACGAUCCGUAGCUGGUCUGAGAGGAUGAUCAGCCACACUGGAACUGAGACACGGUCCAGACUCCUACGGGAGGCAGCUGUGGGGAAUAUUGGACAAUGGGCGCAAGCCUGAUCCAGCCAUACCGCGUGGGUGAAGAAGGCCCUCGGGUUGUAAAGCCCUUUUGUUGGGAAAGAAAUCCAUCUGGUUAAUACCCGGGUGGGAUGACGGUACCCAAAGAAUAAGCACCGGCUAACUUCGUGCCAGCCGCCGCAGUAA